UGCACAAAAACGGACAAGAAAUACCGGGAAGCGGUACUUUUAAGCCUUGAUCAGAUUAUAAAAGCAUUUGGCAAUCAUGAGUUCUUCAACAUGGUUUUUCCAAAAUUGUUUGACAUGUGCAGUUUAGGCACUUCUGACAAAUCUGGACAAGCACAUUCAGCAAAUGAUUCUGCUUAAUCAGACUAUGAUGGAAAAGAAGAUUCUUCUGUUCCACUAGAAAAAGUACUGGACUGUAUCCCAUCAUGUAUCCAUGUGGCAUAUAUUGAUGAUAUUCUUGAAAAGAAAAAUAACUUGGAGCACCUCUGGAUUGCCUCUCUCUCA